rnacentral:tRNA from 1 species
GGAAGGAUGGCCCACUAGUUAGGGUACUAACCUAGGACUUGGAAGAUCUAGGUUCAAAUCCUUGCCCUGCCA